GCUCCCUGCUUGCAAAGGCAGGAAGGCAAUGAGAUAGUGAGAGAUUUCUGAAGGCAGUCUCUCUCUCUCUCUCAGUCUCGGUCUCUGUCUCUCUCUCUCUCUCUCUCUCAGUCUGCUACCGCUGCUGCCUCUGUUGUCCUCAUUUCUAUUAACCAUAACAGACUGUUGGAGUAGACUACUGUUAACUCUGGAAAGGCUUUUCCGCUGUAUUUUUUUUUUUUUUUUUGCGAUGGGGGUAGUGUGUAUACGUGUUGGCUGCAGAGGGGAGGAGCUGAGGAGUACAGUGGGGAGAGCAAAAUAAAUGAACAUACAACAAAAGCGAGCGAAGGGGGCCGUGACAUCACACACUGAGCUGUCCUGGACAAUGCCUGAGAUGAGAACGAGGGACGGCAAGCACAGCACUUGGCUAGGAAACUCUUUUUAUUUCUCUCUCUCAACACCUUUGGCCCAGGAAGAGGGCAAAGUACACCUUUUUGGCAGUCACACUGGAAUAUUUCGGUGACACUUCUCUCUCUUGGCCGACUGGCCGCCUGGGCUCUGAGCCCCUUUUCUCGCCACAGCUGAACAGGAUUCAUCACAGGAACAACUUACUCUUCCAAGUCACUAUUUAACAUUCUUGCAAACUCAGCUUAUUGGGGUCCUAGCCAAAAAGAGGCCAAAAGUCCAGGACUGUGGACUGGCGGAUAAUCUUUCACCUACAAAAGUUGUACAUUUGGAUUGUUUUGUAAUUUUUUUCCAAAAGAUCUUUUCCCCGCCAAAAGAUUUCUUUCCAAAGUUAGAGCCUGUGAUGCUGCAGAUGUUCUAACCAAGAGAAAAUUUUACCAUUAUGUCUAAGAGGGCACGAACGUAAUAGGGAAAUUCACACAAAAAGCACAGGCAACGCCAGGGCAGCUAAAGAGGCUGCAAUGACUUCUGUAGAAGGGGAACAGAGAGGCAUGUACUACCUGGGACGAAUGCCAAAUGCUGACAAAAGACUUCACUGCACUCCCUCUCUCUCUGGGAGAAAUCAUAGUUCUUAAUUCUAAGGGUGGCUUAAAUCACUGGCAUUAUCUCUUAAUAUGAACCUGCUCCUAGAACAGAAGCCAAAGCUUGUGGCCCUGGCAGGCGAACGCCGCGUAGUAUUCAAGAUGAAAUGGUGAAGGGAAUCCUACUUUCCCUGGCAACUCUUGCAAAGGCAUAAAUUCAGUUGUUCUCUUCUACCCAAAAUUUCUUGGCAUCAUGGUCGUAGUGGGCAGGGAGAUAGGAGGGCAUGGCUGCAGAGUGUUACUGCUGGCUCGCCCUUGGGCCGAGUCGCUUUGCCGUCCUCCAGAAUUCAUACUCAGCAAGGCUGAGCUCAAUCAUUCCAUACAACUUGUUUGUAUGAUGGCGGUCAACAAAGAAAUUCACAAAGCUGAGACUUGAUACCAUUCACCAUCGAACUGACUCAACAUCUCAAUUAAGAGGUUUCUAUUUGUCCUCCUCAAGCACCACCCCCACACUCAUGCUGUUCUUUCCACCCUAUCGAGUAGAGGGCCGCCUUUUCCUCCGGCCAACUGCCAUGCCAAAACAUUUCAAUCACUGCCCCCAUUAAUUAGGCCAAAGAAGAAUUUUGCAUGUUAAUGAGCUACCAUGGUGCUUUUCACUGUCUCUGGUUCACAUGCUAAUUUAUGCAAAGUGACAGGGCAACUGCCCUACCCCUCCUUGCAUGCCAGUCAAUUGUUUGGACUGCUCCCAUGACCCUUGUCUGCCACCCUCUUUGGGCACAACUUCAUGCCAGAGCUUGGUAUUGUCUAACUGCCUCAGCUGCCACUGCAGACACCAAGUUAUUAUGAGAUCCAGGGUUUGUUUAAAAUAAUAGCAAAUGAUCAGAUCUGCAGAUAUAUCUGAUCAUACAAGAUCAGAGUUAAAAUAACUUCAGAGUAUUAAUGAUUACCAACAUGAAAUCUGCAUAUUACAAAAGUAAAGACAGAAUUUUAACUUUUUGACAUUGUAUUAUUGUUAUUAUUUUUUCAUUUACACUUGAAAUGGCAAAUAUAUUGUAAAUCGCGCAUAAUGUUUGGAUUGAAUAAACACUUUUGCAGGUAUUAGAGGUUCUCUCUCAUCAGAGCCAAGCUAUCUAAAAUGGCAGCAGGACAGCCAUUUUGUUUGGGUCCAUAUUUUAACUUCCUCUAUGCUGACUACUAACUAUCAAUACAAGAUAUUUUGUGUACCACAGUCUGUUAAACAACAGGCUUCUGCAGGUUUCAAAGGAGCAGGUUUUGCAGAAAAUUGGCACUAUUUCCUGGCACAGAUUACUUCUGCUACGUGCCAUUCACUGAAUGCCAGUUCAGAGUUAUGGAUAAGGUUUACACAAAAUUAUCAUGUGUUCCAUCAAGGCUGUGAUAUGUCGGCUGAAUAUUUUGUAAUGAAUUUUUCUUAUCCAACCACUGAUUACUGUUUAUGAGUUUAGAUGAAGGGCAUGACCUGCUCACUGAGGAAUGAUCAUGGCUGAUGAAUAAGAUUUCACCACAUUUUUUGAACCUAGACCAAGGUUUCUAAAACCAAACCAAAAGGACAGACAGGGAAAAAAAAAAAAAAAAUAGUUUCCUCAAGGUAAUACUCUGGAUAACUGUUACCUCUAACAGGAGUGCCAUUUAGAUGCAAGAUCACACUCUUUACCUGACUUUAAGCCAAAGAUUGCUGUGAUAUCGCUAAUCCUUUUAAUCUUUAUUUCUUUUUUCUCACAUGUUUAACAAAAUUCGGUGGUUUUAAUGAAUCAAAAAGGACUUCAGACCUCAUUUUUCCUGCUAGUCAGAAAAUCUAUUUAAUGGGUGCUAAUGUUUACAUCAUACAUUAAUUUGAAAGCACAAGCAACUCAUGGACCUAGCUUUCCAGUUAUUUGUUGCAAACAGCUAAAAUGUCCCAGAAUGCAUCACAAUAUUACUCUAAUUUACUCUAUACUCAUCACACAGAGUGUUAUUGUAUAAUUCUGAUGUUAAAAAAAAAAAAAAAAAAAAAAAAACCUAAGCAAAAAACAAAUCAAUAAUUAAGCUACAUAACUCAUUUGUACUGCGUAUCUGUUGGCGAAAAGAUGUAUACAUGGUAUUGUGGAUGGAAGUUCCAUUAUACUUUAUAAACAAUUUUUGUGG